UACGUAGGGGGCGAGCGUUGUCCGGAUUUAUUGGGCGUAAAGAGCGUGUAGGCGGCCAGGUAGGUCUGCUGUGAAAACUCGAGGCUUAACCUCGAGCUGUCGGCGGAAACCAUCUGGCUGGAGUCCGGAAGAGGAGAAUGGAAUUCCCGGUGUAGCGGUGAAAUGCGCAGAUAUCGGGAAGAACACCCGUGGCGAAGGCGGUUCUCUGGGACGGUACUGACGCUGAGACGCGAAAGCGUGGGGAGCGAACAGG
rnacentral:rRNA from 1 species